rnacentral:tRNA from 1 species
UCGGAUAUGGUGUAACGGCUAACAUUGCCGCCUCUCAAGUAGAUCGCGGCAGCUCGGGGUUCGAUUCCCCGUAUCCGAA